GAGGGUUGGUCUGUUCGACCAUUAAAAUCUUACGUGAUCUGAGUUCAGACCGGCGUAAGCCAGGUCAGUUUCUAUCCACGAAAGUUGUACUUUUCUUAGUACGAAAGGACCAGAAAAGUAGUGCCAAUUUUUAAAAAAAAGCACUAAAAAAAU
rnacentral:rRNA from 1 species